CCCACUUCUACCGCAGACAGCUGGAGCUGGCGGAGGCGGCGGGGCGGCCGGGCCGGGAGCUGGCCGCCAUCCACGUCUCGCUGGCCGCCACCUUCCGGGACCUGGGCCAGCAUUCCCGGGCCCUGGAGCACUUCCAGAGGGAGCUGCAGCUGCGCCGCGGGGAGCCCCUGGAGGAGUGCCGGACGUGGCUGAACGUGGCGCUGGCGCUGGAGGAG